UAGGGAAAAAAGAGGAAGAGGCAGAGAAAAGUUAAAGCAUCUGCAUUCAAUCCUGAAGAGGACACUCAACAGGCCAAGAAGCUGUGUGGGACAUCAGUGCAGACAGCAGUGAUGGAGUCUUCUUCCUCACUGGCAGAGUCUCCUCACACAAAGACAAGAAUAAUGGAGCCACGUGACCGCAGACAGUGCAGCUGCCACACACACAGACUGCCGUGACUGUGCUUGUGUCAGCCACUCAGAGGACGUUGGAGGAUAGGUGUCACCCAAUGAUGGACAGCUUUGGGCCCUUUCCCUCAAUGGACAACUCUAGCUGGCCUCAUGCAUUGUGGAUCUUAAUCGAAUAAUAACUGGAAAAAUAAUCACUCACAUAAUUACAAACAGCUCUUAGACAUGUGACAAUUAACAGAGUACCAAAAGACUAAAUCAUCUGUGCAUUAACUAUAGACACUUUUGUCCCCAAAAAAUAUAUACAACGAGAAAACAGCCUCGAGACAAGGGCACAACAGUCACAUGUUUAAACUGUCGGUCAACUCUUCUCACCAAGGCAGCUGUGGUCUUGAGGAACCACUUGUCAGAUCAAAUAUACAUUAAAGGGUCUUCUGUGACUGUUAUGUUAAAUGUAUGUACUAGUAAAUAUUUUUCUGUGUUGAUGUUGCAAAUGGAGCUGCUGGGAUGCAAGAACAUUUGAAGCAUUGUUCUGAUCAUUGCAACAGCUUCCACCAGGGGCCGUUAUUGUAGCAAAGCAGCAGUGCUGCAGCU